AGUGAACGCUGGCGGUAGGCCUAACACAUGCAAGUCGAACGGCAGCACAGUAAGAGCUUGCUCUUACGGGUGGCGAGUGGCGGACGGGUGAGGAAUACAUCGGAAUCUACUUUUUCGUGGGGGAUAACGUAGGGAAACUUACGCUAAUACCGCAUACGACCUACGGGUGAAAGCAGGGGAUCUUCGGACCUUGCGCGAUUGAAUGAGCCGAUGUCGGAUUAGCUAGUUGGCGGGGUAAAGGCCCACCAAGGCGACGAUCCGUAGCUGGUCUGAGAGGAUGAUCAGCCACACUGGAACUGGGACACGGUCCAUGCUCCUACGGGAGGCAGCAGUGGGGAAUAUUGGACAAUGGGCGCAAGCCUGAUCCAGCCAUACCGCGUGGGUGAAGAAGGCCUUCGGGUUGUAAAGCCCUUUUGUUGGGAAAGAAAAGCAGCAGGUUAAUACCCCGCUGUUCUGACGGUACCCAAAGAAUAAGCACCGGCUAACUUCGUG
rnacentral:rRNA from 1 species